AAGCUCCAGGGACCGCUUUUCGCCUGCUGAUAGGAGUAUAGAAUUGACACAUAAAUAAAACCUGGAUACAAGAUGGACGCAGACAAACAUAGGCAAACGUCUAAUCAUGCUUGAAAGCAUAUGCACAAAGUUAACCUAUUAGGUAUGCAAGAAGAAUACCCAUCGGCAGUAGCAAGAACCAUGGUAGAACUCCAUGAAAAUUUUCUCAAGGCAAAACAGAUUUCUCUCACACUGAUGUUUGAAAUCCCAUCACAUCAAUUUUGAUUUAAGGAAUUAAAGGCGCGUCUCAACUGAGGCUUCAUAAGCAGCACCCGUUGUCAGAGUGACCCGAAUAGGUGUAGUAAUUCUUUGUGCACCAUUAGUGGUGGGGCUCCAGCAGAAAC
rnacentral:lncRNA from 1 species